rnacentral:SRP_RNA from 6 species
UGUUGGUUCUCCCGCAAUGUUAACCUGUUAACCCGGUCAGGUCCGGAAGGAAGCAGCCGCAGCAGGUAACACAUGUGCCGGGAUGUCGCUGGCAAGG